UACGUAGGCAGCAAGCGUUGUUCGGAAUUACUGGGCGUAAAGCGUGCGUAGGCGGUUGGCUAAGUUUGGUGUGAAAUCUCCCGGCUUAACUGGGAGGGUGCGCCGAAAACUGGCCGGCUGGAGUGCGGGAGAGGGAAGUGGAAUUCCUGGUGUAGCGGUGAAAUGCGUAGAUAUCAGGAGGAACACCUGUGGUGUAGACGGCUUCCUGGACCGUGACUGACGAUGAGGCACGAAAGCGUGGGGAGCAAACAGG
rnacentral:rRNA from 1 species